rnacentral:rRNA from 1 species
ACUCUCGGCAACGGAUAUCUCGGCUCACGCAUCGAUGAAGAACGUAGCAAAAUGCGAUACUUGGUGUGAAUUGCAGAAUCCCGUGAACCAUCGAGUCUUCGAACGCAAGUUGCGCCCAAAGCCAUUUGGUUGAGGGCACGUCUGCCUGGGCGUCACGCAUCGUGUCGC